GACGAACUGUCCAAACGUUGAUCGGAAUCACUGGGCUUAAAGGGCGCGUAGGCGGUCAAACAAGUCAGGGGUGAAAUCCUGCAGCUCAACUGUAGAAGUGCCUCUGAUACUGUUUGCCUAGAGGGAGAUAGGGGUGUGCGGAACUUCCAGUGGAGCGGUGAAAUGCGUUGAUAUUGGAAGGAACGCCGGAGGCGAAAGCGGCGCACUGGAUCUCUUCUGACGCUGAGGCGCGAAAGCUAGGGGAGCAAACGGG
rnacentral:rRNA from 1 species